GUGAGGAAUAUUGCGCAAUGGAGGCAACUCUGACGCAGCCAUGCCGCGUGCAGGAAGAAGGCGCUACGCGUUGUAAACUGCUUUUAACCGGGAAGAAACCCCAGGACGUGUCCUGGGUUGACGGUACCGGAGGAAUAAGCACCGGCUAACUUCGUGCCAGCAGCCGCGGUAAUACGAAGGGUGCAAGCGUUAUCCGGAUUCAUUGGGUUUAAAGGGUGCGUAGGCGGAGCGUUAAGUCAGUGGUGAAAUCCUGCAGCUUAACUGUAGACUUGCCAGUGAUACUGGCGCUCUUGAGUGCGCUUGAAGUGGGCGGAAUGUGCCGUGUAGCGGUGAAAUGCUUAGAUAUGGCACAGAACACCAAUUGCGAAGGCAGCUCACUAAGGCGAUACUGACGCUGAGGCACGAAAGCGUGGGGAUCGAACAGGAUUAGAUACCCGUGUAGUCC
rnacentral:rRNA from 1 species